GUGGGAUACGGAGACAUGUGCCCCAUCACAAUGGGAGGCAAAAUGGUCGGCACCCUCUGUGCCAUUGCUGGUGUCCUGACCAUUGCCUUGCCCGUCCCUGUCAUCGUCUCCAAC
rfam:Larimichthys crocea isolate SSNF unplaced genomic scaffold scaffold81, whole genome shotgun sequence.